UCCGACGUACCCGCUAUGUUCAUUCUCCGUCCUUACCACGAGUUUGAUUUUUUUAAAUUUAACUCGGGAGAGCUCUUGGAAUGAACUUGCACCGUGGGACAGGGCUAUCAGUCUCUCCACAGUUUAUGAUAUGCUGUAUUCUCAGGAUUUUAAUGCUUAUAACUGUAAAAUUGAUCAGCAGAGACUCUAAUAUUUUUUAAUUAUAUGCUAGGUUUUUUUUUUUUUUUCGACAAGAGAAAAAGAAAGGGCUUACCUGUAAAAUAGACGUUGAUUAAACAGCUCUUCUCUGGUCUUUGACCACAACUGGUGAAAUAAGCAAAUGAAUGUAAACUGCUCAUUUUUUUUUUGGCAGCGUUCAUAUAUAUAGAUAGAUACAAAUCAGUUUGGUCUUUGCGUUUUUGGAAAUUAAAAAUGGUCGAUUUUCCAAAUGUCAUCGGGCAAAGAGAAACUGAACCUGCCUCCUAAAUAAAGCAAGUUUUAUUGCCAGCAUUCUUGUCUACCUUCGAUUUUCCAGCAUCUGCAGUUCCUUCUUAGACAACAAAUAAAACGUUUCAUUGCCAAAUGUCUUGGCACCGCAUAAUUGUGGCAGUAAUCAUUCCAAGAGAGGAUUUUUAAGUCUACUUUGAAGACGGUGUGUAUUACCAGCAGUUAUACCAGCUUUGGUUCCCAAACUUAAAUCGUCGAACAGGUUGAAGAAAUCAAAAUCUUUUAUCGGGGGAAAAUGCACUUUUUGUAUGAAAAAGUUAUGGAUGAUAAUGUGUAUAAUGUGCUGUUUUUUUUUAUUAUUGAUGUCAGAGAGGCUUGGCCCUCGCUUUCCACACUGUGUUUUCGAUGGAGAUAUAAAACUCUCGUGGAUUUACUAAGUAACAUAAUUACUAAGUGAACCAGAUUGGAAAGGACCUCUUAAUUCUGUAUAUACACCUGUGCCUUGUAUUACAUGAACAGCAAUUGCCUACUGCUGAGGUUUAUGUGCCAAUGUAAUUCUGGGUUUCAUAUUUUUUUACAAAAAUGCAAGAAAUAAAGAUCCUCAGAACCA